CCUACGGGGGGCUGCAGUGGGGAAUAUUGGACAAUGGGGGCAACCCUGAUCCAGCCAUGCCGCGUGUGUGAAGAAGGCCCUCGGGUUGUAAAGCACUUUCAGUGAGGAAGAACGCCUGGUGGUUAAUACCCAUCAGGAAAGACAUCACUCACAGAAGAAGCACCGGCUAACUCCGUGCCAGCAGCCGCGGUAAUACGGAGGGUGCGAGCGUUAAUCGGAAUUACUGGGCGUAAAGCGCGCGUAGGUGGCUUGAUAAGCCGGUUGUGAAAGCCCCGGGCUCAACCGGGGAACGGCAUCCGGAACUGUCAAGCUAGAGUGCAGGAGAGGAAGGUAGAAUUCCCGGUGUAGCGGUGAAAUGCGUAGAGAUCGGGAGGAAUACCAGUGGCGAAGGCGGCCUUCUGGACUGACACUGACACUGAGGUGCGAAAGCGUGGGUAGCAAACAGGAUUAGAUACCCCGGUAGUC
rnacentral:rRNA from 1 species